rnacentral:lncRNA from 1 species
UAUGCUAUCAUCCCUCGCCGCGACCACUAUCCUUCAAUUGACUAUGGAGAGUAGUGACGCACACACGCACUAUAGCGGAAUACGCAAAAAGAUGCAAACUAGAUAGCAACAGAGUAAACCUCACACAGAAUGCUAGCUAGAAUACGUUAAAAGGAAUAAAGAGUAAACAAGAGAGCGGGAGGUACCAACUCCCGAUAGAAAAAUCUGAAAGUAGGCUUUGAUGCGCCCGAGGUCAACUGCUACCAACUCUUGCACAUCCCGGCCGGUGUUGCUUAGCUCUUCACUCCCAAACGCCGCAAACUGGCC